GCUGCUUUGCUGACGAGUGGCGGACGGGUGAGUAAUGUCUGGGAAACUGCCUGAUGGAGGGGGAUAACUACUGGAAACGGUAGCUAAUACCGCAUAACGUCGCAAGACCAAAGAGGGGGACCUUCGGGCCUCUUGCCAUCGGAUGUGCCCAGAUGGGAUUAGCUAGUAGGUGGGGUAAAGGCUCACCUAGGCGACGAUCCCUAGCUGGUCUGAGAGGAUGACCAGCCACACUGGAACUGAGACACGGUCCAGACUCCUACGGGAGGCAGCAGUGGGGAAUAUUGCACAAUGGGCGCAAGCCUGAUGCAGCCAUGCCGCGUGUAUGAAGAAGGCCUUCGGGUUGUAAAGUACUUUCAGCGGGGAGGAAGGGAGUAAAGUUAAUACCUUCGCUCAUUGACGUUACCCGCAGAAGAAGCACCGGCUAACUCCGUGCCAGCAGCCGCGGUAAUACGGAGGGUGCAAGCGUUAAUCGGAAUUACUGGGCGUAAAGCGCACGCAGGCGGUUUGUUAAGUCAGAUGUGAAAUCCCCGGGCUCAACCUGGGAACUGCAUCUGAUACUGGCAAGCUUGAGUCUCGUAGAGGGGGGUAGAAUUCCAGGUGUAGCGGUGAAAUGCGUAGAGAUCUGGAGGAAUACCGGUGGCGAAGGCGG
rnacentral:rRNA from 1 species